rnacentral:sRNA from 1 species
CCAAGCUUGGAAGGUAGCUUCCAAGCACCAAUAAUAAAGUACCGUCAACUGUUACCAAGUGCGCAAAUAUCUGAACCUAGGGGGGCACAUUCUCACUCACACCGCUGCUGCCUCCAAUACGUCUGUGUGAAGAAGGUUUGCGAAGGUCACGUGACUCACUCUUGUGGAGAAAGGAUUUCUACACGUGCCAGAAACGAUGGAGAAAACCUGAAUGUGAAGAAAAUAAUAUGGAGAAAUGUCCUUCUUGCCUGGGUACCUGAUAUAUCACAAAGGACAUAAAUCCUCUGAAUGUCAGCGAUAUGAAGGAGAAAGUGUAAACAACGGAGAACACCUCCUCUUCUCUCAGUUCAGUCAGAAGCAUGAAAGUCUACAUACUGGGGAGACACCUAAAAACCAUUCCCAGAAUGAAGGUCGCAAUCGUGAACUGAUUCACAAUGCAACAAAAGACGGCAGGUGUAAGCCACACUGAAAAGUGUUCAUUCCCUCCAGUCAUCAGCCACGUCUCAAUGGAGAGAAGUCCUAUGUAUGUAAGCAACGUAGGAGUGUUUAUUCACCACCGUUCCCUUAGAUGCCUCAACGUGAUACACAGUGAGAAGAAAGCGUGUGCAAGUGAGUCAUGUGGGAGAGCCUUUACUUCUAAUUACAUUAAAACACAUAGAUGAGUUCACACUGGAGAGAAACCUGAUGUGUGUACCCAGUGUGGGAAAGCCUUCACCUUUCACAAAGCCUUUUACAAAUAUUCAACAAUUCACCAUGGAGGAACUUUACAAACAGAAUUUGGGAAGGCUUCAUUAUCUCCUAAUAGCAUUCAUAAGAGUUUACACGGGGAAAAAUACUGUGAGUAGAAGCAUUUGGGGACACUGCUCAGUUCAAUUCACUCAAUAUGGAGAGCAUAUUUGUUUAGAAGAGUCAUAUAUACAGAAGUCUUCUGUUAGCACGCAUGUGUAACACAACCUGGAUGAAAUCCUCUGAUCGUUAAAAACUACAGGAAAAUCAAGACUAGUAGCCAACAGCGCCAGUCCUGUGAAAGUUCUUCAUAUGUUCAAUACAAUAAUUGAAAGUCAUAGGAAGGUCUUAACAUGUAUUAUUUUUGGAAUGCUCCAGAUAAUAUACAGUCUGAACAAAUGAACCAAAAGCUAUGAAUAUAUUGUGCUUAUUUGGAACAUGUAAGGUAAUCUUUUCCUUUAGUUUUUAGAAAGGGUUGGGCUUUGUAACCCAAGGUGUUAUUGGACUGAUUAUCCUCCCACUUCUGUUUUUUUUUUAAUAUUUGGAUUAAAGAUAUCUGUUUUGACAUGUAGUACCCCGUAGCUUAGAGUAGGUCUCUCUAGACUGUAUGUUUCUGAUUUUAGUUCUAAAAAACAAGUGUGAACUAUGUAAGAGAGAAAUUGUUUAUUCCCAGAAAUAGACACCAGUAAGAACUACAUCUAAAAAAUAAAAAGGACAGAAAAUGUACUAUAGUAAUGGGAUACAGUAUUAUUAGGUUUGUUAAGGUAAUAGUGUCUGAGUUUAGUGAGUGGUAUGUUUUUAUAUCAAAGCAUGUGGUGUUUUCUUUUUUCAUUUUAAAUUGGUUAAUAGUCAACAGUGAGUUAUAAUACAUCAGUAGGCAUGUGUUGUCUUUAAACCACUGUAGCUAAUGGGACUUGAAAAUUACAUCUUGUGAAUAAUGGGAUUUGGGACGAAGCUCCAUUUCAGUUGGUUGAGUGCCUGUCUAGCAUUCCUGAAGUCCUGGGUUUGGUCCCCUGCACUGCAUAGACCAGGCAUGUUGGCAUACACUUGUGAUCACAGUACUUGAGCAAGAAGGUCAGAAGUCCAAGGUUAUCUUUUGUUACAUAGUGAGUUUAAGGUC